rnacentral:rRNA from 1 species
GUGAACGCUGGCGGUAGGCCUAACACAUGCAAGUCGCACGGCAGCACAGUAAGAGCUUGCUCUUACGGGUGGCGAGUGGCGGACGGGUGAGGAAUACAUCGGAAUCUACUUUUUCGUGGAGGAUAACGUAGGGAAACUUACGCUAAUACCGCAUACGACCUACGGGUGAAAGCAGGGGAUCUUCGGACCUUGCGCGAUUGAAUGAGCCGAUGUCGGAUUAGCUAGUUGGCGGGGUAAAGGCCCACCAAGGCGACGAUCCGUAGCUGGUCUGAGAGGAUGAUCAGCCACACUGGAACUGAGACACGGUCCAGACUCCUACGGGAGGCAGCAGUGGGGAAUAUUGGACAAUGGGCGCAAGCCUGAUCCAGCCAUACCGCGUGGGUGAAGAAGGCCUUCGGGUUGUAAAGCCCUUUUGUUGGGAAAGAAAAGCAGCAGGUUAAUACCCCGCUGUUCUGACGGUACCCAAAGAAUAAGCACCGGCUAACUUCGUG